AGAGUUUGAUCAUGGCUCAGAAUGAACGCUGGCGGCAUGCCUAACACAUGCAAGUCGAACGAAGGCUUCGGCCUUAGUGGCGCACGGGUGCGUAACGCGUGGGAAUCUGCCCUCAGGUUCGGAAUAACAGCGAGAAAUUGCUGCUAAUACCGGAUGAUAUCGCGAGAUCAAAGAUUUAUCGCCUGAGGAUGAGCCCGCGUAGGAUUAGCUAGUUGGUGUGGUAAAGGCGCACCAAGGCGACGAUCCUUAGCUGGUCUGAGAGGAUGAUCAGCCACACUGGGACUGAGACACGGCCCAGACUCCUACGGGAGGCAGCAGUGGGGAAUAUUGGACAAUGGGCGAAAGCCUGAUCCAGCAAUGCCGCGUGAGUGAUGAAGGCCUUAGGGUUGUAAAGCUCUUUUACCCGGGAUGAUAAUGACAGUACCGGGAGAAUAAGCUCCGGCUAACUCCGUGCCAGCAGCCGCGGUAAUACGGAGGGAGCUAGCGUUAUUCGGAAUUACUGGGCGUAAAGCGCACGUAGGCGGCUUUGUAAGUUAGAGGUGAAAGCCUGGAGCUCAACUCCAGAAUUGCCUUUAAGACUGCAUCGCUUGAAUCCAGGAGAGGUGAGUGGAAUUCCGAGUGUAGAGGUGAAAUUCGUAGAUAUUCGGAAGAACACCAGUGGCGAAGGCGGCUCACUGGACUGGUAUUGACGCUG
rnacentral:rRNA from 1 species